UCUGUCCCUAGAGGCAUUGCAGUUGUGACUGCUGUGUCACAUGUGCGUCUGUAGGAAGCAGAGAGAAGAGAGGCUGUGUGUACUCAGUGUUCUGACCUGUGAACAUCUGAACAUUUAUUCCUGAAAAA
ensembl:snoRNA LOC120098687 small nucleolar RNA SNORA17